ACAAGCGGAGGAACAUGUGGUUUAAUUCGAUGAUACGCGAGGAACCUUACCCGGGCUUGAAAGUUAGUGACGGACUGUGAAAGCGGUCUUCCCUUCGGGGCACGAAACUAGGUGCUGCAUGGUUGUCGUCAGCUCGUGCCGUGAGGUGUCGGCUUAAGUGCCAUAACGAGCGCAACCCUUGUUGUUAGUUACCAUCAGGUAAAGCUGGGGACUCUAACAAGACUGCUACUGUAAGGUAGAGGAAGGUGGGGAUGACGUCAAAUCAGCACGGCCCUUACGUCCGGGGCGACACACGUGUUACAAUGGUCGGUACAGAGGGUUGCUACCUGGCGACAGGAUGCUAAUCUCCAAAAGCCGAUCUCAGUUCGGAUCGGAGUCUGCAACUCGACUCCGUGAAGCUGGAUUCGCUAGUAAUCGCGCAUCAGCCAUGGCGCGGUGAAUACGUUCCCGGGCCUUGUACACACCGCCCGUCAAGCCAUGGAAGCUGGGGGUACCUAAAGUCCGUGACCGCAAGGAGCGGCCUAGGGUAAAACUAGUAACUGGGGCUAAGUCGUAACAAGGUA
rnacentral:rRNA from 1 species